GCAUGUAGCUCAGUGGUAGAGCACUUGCCUAGCAUGCAGGAGACCUGAGUUCAAUCCCCUGUACCACA
rnacentral:tRNA from 1 species